rnacentral:rRNA from 1 species
CCCUUAGAUGUUCUGGGCUGCACGCGCGCUACACUGAAGCGUUCAACGAGUAUUCACCUUGCCCGGGAGGGUUGGGUAAUCUUUUGAAAACGCUUCGUGAUGGGGAUAGAUUAUUGCAAUUAUUAAUCUUCAACGAGGAAUUCCUAGUAAGCGCGAGUCAUCAGCUCGUGCUGAUUACGUCCCUGCCCUUUGUACACACCGCCCGUCGCUCCUACCGAUUGAGUGCUCCGGUGAAUAAUUCGGACUGCAGCACUGCUUGGUCUCCAGGCUUUGCAGCGGAAAGUUUAGUGAACCUUAUCACUUAGAGGAAGGAGAAGUCGUAACA